CGAGACUUACGUGUCAGCUGCCGCGCCUAGGGCCACGAGCCUAGGAGGGUCUCGCAGGCUGCUGACCUCUGCCGACCCCCGGCGACUCGCCUCCGACCCUGGGCUGGGGGAAGGGGGUCUGCGGCGUCGGCAGAUCUGGGCGUGUUUAGACUAGUUUCAGAGGCUGCUGCGGUCGUUUAGGAUGAGAUGUGGGUGCGGCUGCGUUGAAAAAGAGUGGAAGGCAAUGGAAUUGGAAACGAGUGUGGACUUGGGUUUUGUUUUGAAGGGUUUGGUGGUAGAUUGGACAUGGGGAUUGAGGGAGAGGGCGGUGUCAAGGAUUCCUAAGAUUGUCACUUGAUCAAUCGGAUAAAUAUUGGGGCCAUUUACUGAGAUGGGGUAGGCUAAGGUAGGAGCUGUUCUGGACACGUUCAUUUUGAGAUCUUGCUAAGUCAUGUUGAGUGGGACUAACAGAUAGGAAGCUGAAUAUUAAUGACUGGUCAUCCUUAUAAGGGAUCUGCACCGAAGAUGUUAUUUUGGGAAUCGUUGGCUUAUAAAUGGUAAUUAAAGCCACCAGAAUGAACGGAACUUAGGAAGAGAGUAUAAAGGAGGGAUCAGCUAACUUUUCUGAGCUAGAAGGAUAUCUAUUUUUUAAUUAAAAAAAAUUUUUAGGCCACCGUGCCCGGCGGCCAUCUUCCUUCUACUUAAGAGUUUCUGUUCCCAGGCCUAGUAAGCAUCUCAUAGACAUCAAACAAGUCACAGGAGUCUUCAGCUUGUCAUUGGAAUUGUAGGUGUGGAUAUGGCCUCCUGGAAGGAGUACAGAAUCAGUACUACCCAGAGGCCAAAGGUACAGUCAUGUCCUUAGUCCCAAAAGGCUCAGACACAUCCCAGGCCCUUUCCACACACUUAAACAGCUGAUUUAUUUUUUCUCUUUAUUGUUACAUACAAUGUAUAAACACAUAAAACAGAAAACAGUAGGGAUCCUCUAGGAUCUCUAGGGAGACAGUAAAGUAGAAAGAGGUCUCAGAAACAUUUUUUUAAAGUACAAGACAUUCAGUGCUCGGCCCAAAGGCGUAGAAGGUUUAGAGCCAGCAGAUAGCUGUACUAAAGGCUCCGUCUCUCUCCCCAGAGCCAGGACAACCCCAGGGAGCUCUCCAUUAGCAGCCAGUCCACGCAGGCAGGAUGCUGCGGAGAAAGCUCUAUGCUGAGAACAUUCCCCUUGAUGGAAAGAAGGGCAACACAAAAGGGUAACUAAGAGCUCCUUCCUCUCGUGAGGGCGACAACUGAGGAACAGAAAAGGAGUGUCCCAUGUCACUCUGACCCCCUCCCCAGCUGCCCUGGGCCCAGAUGCCCCCAUACUUGGCAUUUACCAGAACCUGUCCCAGCUCAGACCCUGCCUAGACCCACCAGGUACCCA
rnacentral:lncRNA from 1 species